UUUUCUGUGGCUCAGUCAGUAGAGCAUUGCGCUAGAAACGCAAAGGUUGUUGAUUCAAACCCCAGAGAAA